GACGAACGCUGGCGGCGUGCUUAACACAUGCAAGUCGAGCGGUAAGGCCCUUUCGGGGGUACACGAGCGGCGAACGGGUGAGUAACACGUGGGUGACCUGCCCUCAGCUCUGGGAUAAAGCCUGGGAAACCGGGUCUAAUACUGGAUAUGACUCCAUGACGCAUGUUGUGGGGUGGAAAGCCUUGUGCGGCUGAGGAUGGGCCCGCGGCCUAUCAGCUUGUUGGUGGGGUGAUGGCCUACCAAGGCGACGACGGGUAGCCGGCCUGAGAGGGCGACCGGCCACACUGGGACUGAGACACGGCCCAGACUCCUACGGGAGGCAGCAGUGGGGAAUCUUGCGCAAUGGGCGAAAGCCCUGACGCAGCGACGCCGCGUGAGGGAUGACGGCCU
rnacentral:rRNA from 1 species